UAUGUAGGUGACUAGCGUUGUCCGGAUUUACUGGGCGUAAAGAGCGCGCAGGCGGUCGUGCAAGUCGAGCGUGAAAGCCCCCGGCUCAACUGGGGAGGGUCACUCGAUACUGCUCGACUCGAAGGCGGGAGAGGGAAGUGGAAUUCCCGGUGUAGUGGUGAAAUGCGUAGAUAUCGGGAGGAACACCAGUGGCGAAGGCGACUUCCUGGCCCGUUCUUGACGCUGAGGCGCGAAAGCUAGGGGAGCAAACGGG
rnacentral:rRNA from 1 species